rnacentral:rRNA from 1 species
UACGGAGGGGGCUAGCGUUGUUCGGAAUUACUGGGCGUAAAGCGCGCGUAGGCGGCCAACUAAGUCGGACGUGAAAUCCCCAGGCUCAACCUGGGAACUGCGUCCGAUACUGGAUGGCUUGAAUCCGGGAGAGGGAUGCAGAAUUCCAGGUGUAGCGGUGAAAUGCGUAGAUAUCUGGAGGAAUACCGGUGGCGAAGGCGGCAUCCUGGACCGGCAUUGACGCUGAGGAGCGAAAGCCAGGGGAGCAAACGGG